CCUAACACAUGCAAGUCGAACGGUAACAGGAAGAAGCUUGCUUCUUUGCUGACGAGUGGCGGACGGGUGAGUAAUGUCUGGGAAACUGCCUGAUGGAGGGGGAUAACUACUGGAAACGGUAGCUAAUACCGCAUAACGUCGCAAAACCAAAGAGGGGGACCUUCGGGCCUCUUGCCAUCGGAUGUGCCCAGAUGGGAUUAGCUAGUAGGUGGGGUAACGGCUCACCUAGGCGACGAUCCCUAGCUGGUCUGAGAGGAUGACCAGCCACACUGGAACUGAGACACGGUCCAGACUCCUACGGGAGGCAGCAGUGGGGAAUAUUGCACAAUGGGCGCAAGCCUGAUGCAGCCAUGCCGCGUGUAUGAAGAAGGCCUUCGGGUUGU
rnacentral:rRNA from 1 species